CGGACAGUGGGCGGCUGCUAUACAUGCAAGUCGAGCGGACAGAUGGGAGCUUGCUCCCUGAUGUUAGCGGCGGACGGGUGAGUAACACGUGGGUAACCUGCCUGUAAGACUGGGAUAACUCCGGGAAACCGGGGCUAAUACCGGAUGGUUGUUUGAACCGCAUGGUUCAGACAUAAAAGGUGGCUUCGGCUACCACUUACAGAUGGACCCGCGGCGCAUUAGCUAGUUGGUGAGGUAACGGCUCACCAAGGCGACGAUGCGUAGCCGACCUGAGAGGGUGAUCGGCCACACUGGGACUGAGACACGGCCCAGACUCCUACGGGGGGGCAGCAGUAA
rnacentral:rRNA from 1 species